UGGGGAAUUUUGGACAAUGGGCGCAAGCCUGAUCCAGCAAUGCCGCGUGAGUGAAGAAGGCCUUCGGGUUGUAAAGCUCUUUUGUCAGGGAAGAAACGGUAUCUCCUAAUACGGGGUGCUAAUGACGGUACCUGAAGAAUAAGCACCGGCUAACUACGUGCCAGCAGCCGCGGUAAUACGUAGGGUGCAAGCGUUAAUCGGAAUUACUGGGCGUAAAGCGUGCGCAGGCGGUUAUAUAAGACAGAUGUGAAAUCCCCGGGCUCAACCUGGGAACUGCAUUUGUGACUGUAUAGCUAGAGUACGGUAGAGGGGGAUGGAAUUCCGCGUGUAGCAGUGAAAUGCGUAGAUAUGCGGAGGAACACCGAUGGCGAAGGCAAUCCCCUGGACCUGUACUGACGCUCAUGCACGAAAGCGUGGGGAGCAAACAGGAUUAGAUACCCUGGUAGUCCACGCCCUAAACGAUGUCAACUGGUUGUUGGGUCUUCACUGACUCAGUAACGAAGCUAACGCGUGAAGUUGACCGCCUGGGGAGUACGGCCGCAAGGUUG
rnacentral:rRNA from 1 species